GACGAACGCUGGCGGCGUGCCUAAUACAUGCAAGUAGAACGCUGAAGGAGGAGCUUGCUUCUCUGGAUGAGUUGCGAACGGGUGAGUAACGCGUAGGUAACCUGCCUGGUAGCGGGGGAUAACUAUUGGAAACGAUAGCUAAUACCGCAUAACAGUAGAUAUCGCAUGAUAUCUACUUGAAAGGUGCAAUUGCAUCACUACCAGAUGGACCUGCGUUGUAUUAGCUAGUUGGUGAGGUAACGGCUCACCAAGGCGACGAUACAUAGCCGACCUGAGAGGGUGAUCGGCCACACUGGGACUGAGACACGGCCCAGACUCCUACGGGAGGCAGCAGUAGGGAAUCUUCGGCAAUGGACGGAAGUCUGACCGAGCAACGCCGCGUGAGUGAAGAAGGUUUUCGGAUCGUAAAGCUCUGUUGUAAGAGAAGAACGAGUGUGAGAGUGGAAAGUUCACACUGUGACGGUAGCUGACCAGAAAGGGACGGCUAACUACGUG
rnacentral:rRNA from 1 species